AGCGAACGCUGGCGGCAGGCCUAACACAUGCAAGUCGAGCGCCCAGCAAUGGGAGCGGCAGACGGGAUAGUAACACGUGGGAACGUACCUUUCAGUUCGGAACAACCUAGGGAAACUUUGGCUAAUACCGAAUACGCCCGCAAGGGGAAAGAUUUAUCGCUGAAAGAUCGGCCCGCGUCUGAUUAGCUAGUUGGUGAGGUAAUGGCUCACCAAGGCGACGAUCAGUAGCUGGUCUGAGAGGAUGAUCAGCAUCACCGGGACUGAGACACGGCCCAGACUCCUACGGGAGGCAGUAGUGGGGAAUAUUGGACAAUGGGCGCAAGCCUGAUCCAGCCAUGCCGCGUGAGUGAUGAAGGCCUUAGGGUUGUAAAGCUCUUUCGUCAGGGAAGAUAAUGACGGUACCUGAAGAAGAAGCCCCGGCUAACUACGUGCCAGCAGCCGCGGUAACAC
rnacentral:rRNA from 1 species